UCUUGCAAACCUGCUGGAGCCACUUUGCCUUGUAUACAUUUUUGCAGCUCAUGUUAGCGUAUUGCUUUUGAGCUGAAGGACGUGUUACUACAGGCAGGUGGAAUGGAGCGUGGAGGAGAAUGAGAUCCUACAGUGUUAAGAUGGGCUGGGAAAGGCAUGCCGUCUCGAUGUAGCAUAAGAAGCUCUUAAGGAAAUGCUGCUUGACUUGAACAUUACAGGAAAAGCCAAUAUCCCAAGCCGGACUCUGAUGAGAACAAUGAACAAGGUCUUAGCUAAUUCAGGUGCAGCCAUGAUUCAGUCUCAUCAAUAUGGUCACAUCUGUACAUCCUAGUCUUCAUCACCUACCUAAGCAUGUAUAAGUACGUCUAUAAUGACUCAUGCCCGAUGCAUACGAUAAACUCCCCUCUGGCAUUUUUCAGCAUGCUAAAUAAGAUGAGUGACUAAACAGUAAAAGGGAAACAACUUAACCCAAAUGUCACAUAUUAAAAAUGUUUUUAACUAUAUAACUUUGUUAACCAACUGCAGUAAAGGAUAACGUGGGGAAAUGUUGGCAAGUUUAAUUUGAGGUCUGAACAAACUGGGGAUUUGAUUUGUAAAACCUGCCGUGCUGCCUGUGAGAACAUGCUUUUGAUUUUGUAUACUGUUGGCUUUAUAUUCUCCCCCUCACCUGCCUGAGACAAAAUAAAGUGUCAGAGUUUUUUAUUUAAUUGUUAAUGAAUCAAAUAUAUUUUAUAACCCUUGUAUUAGAGGUACCACUAUGAGGUACAUGGCAUUACUUUUUUAUUCAAAUGAUGUAAUGCUGUAUUUUUAUGAAUGCCGAAAGUAAAAAAAUUCAUAGCUUUGCAGCUAGGAGACACUCAUGGCUGUUUUACAAAACAACAUGGCUUUUUAUAGAUGAUUGCUGUGGUAAACCAUUUCUAAAUGUAAUAAAUAAAUACCUGAGUGGAGGAGUUUUUGCAGCAUAUCCCUUGAC